rnacentral:rRNA from 1 species
CCUACGGGCGGCAGCAGUGAGGAAUAUUGGUCAAUGGACGAGAGUCUGAACCAGCCAAGUAGCGUGAAGGAUGACUGCCCUAUGGGUUGUAAACUUCUUUUAUAUGGGAAUAAAACGUUCCACGUGUGGGAUUUUGUAUGUACCAUAUGAAUAAGGAUCGGCUAACUCCGUGCCAGCAGCCGCGGUAAUACGGAGGAUCCGAGCGUUAUCCGGAUUUAUUGGGUUUAAAGGGUGCGUAGGUGGAUUGUUAAGUCAGUUGUGAAAGUUUGCGGCUCAAACGUAAAAUUGCCGUUGAAACUGGCAGUCUUGAGUACAGUAGGGGUGGGCGGAAUGCGUGGUGUAGCGGUGAAAUGCUUAGAUAGCACGAAGAACUCCGAGUGCGAAGGCAGUUCACUGGACUGCAACUGACACUGAGGCUCGAAAGUGUGGGUAUCAAACAGGAUUAGAUACCCGGGUAGUC